rnacentral:rRNA from 1 species
UACGUAGGGUGCAAGCGUUAAUCGGAAUUACUGGGCGUAAAGCGUGCGCAGGCGGCUUUGCAAGACAGAUGUGAAAUCCCCGGGCUUAACCUGGGAACUGCAUUUGUGACUGCAUGGCUAGAGUGCGGCAGAGGGGGAUGGAAUUCCGCGUGUAGCAGUGAAAUGCGUAGAGAUGCGGAGGAACACCGAUGGCGAAGGCAAUCCCCUGGGCCUGCACUGACGCUCAUGCACGAAAGCGUGGGGAGCAAACAGG